GUACACUCCUGCGGGAGGCAGCAGUGGGGAAUUUUGGACAAUGGGCGAAAGCCUGAUCCAGCAAUGCCGCGUGAGUGAAGAAGGCCUUCGGGUUGUAAAGCUCUUUUGUCAGGGAAGAAACGGUGAAAGCUAAUAUCUUUUGCUAAUGACGGUACCUGAAGAAUAAGCACCGGCUAACUACGUGCCAGCAGCCGCGGUAAUACGUAGGGUGCAAGCGUUAAUCGGAAUUACUGGGCGUAAAGCGUGCGCAGGCGGUUUUGUAAGUCUGAUGUGAAAUCCCCGGGCUCAACCUGGGAAUUGCAUUGGAGACUGCAAGGCUAGAAUCUGGCAGAGGGGGGUAGAAUUCCACGUGUAGCAGUGAAAUGCGUAGAUAUGUGGAGGAACACCGAUGGCGAAGGCAGCCCCCUGGGUCAAGAUUGACGCUCAUGCACGAAAGCGUGGGGAGCAAACAGGAUUAGAUACCCGAGUAGUCCCAUG
rnacentral:rRNA from 1 species